rnacentral:rRNA from 1 species
CCUCAAAGAGGGGGACAACAGUUGGAAACGACUGCUAAUACCGCAUAAGCCCACAGGUCGGCAUCGACCAGAGGGAAAAGGAGCAAUCCGCUUUGAGAUGGCCUCGCGUCCGAUUAGCUAGUUGGUGAGGUAACGGCCCACCAAGGCAACGAUCGGUAGCCGGACUGAGAGGUUGAACGGCCACAUUGGGACUGAGACACGGCCCAGACUCCUACGGGAGGCAGCAGUGGGGAAUAUUGCACAAUGGGGGAAACCCUGAUGCAGCGACGCCGCGUGGAGGAAGAAGGUCUUCGGAUUGUAAACUCCUGUUGUUGAGGAAGAUAAUGACGGUACUCAACAAGGAAGUGACGGCUAACUACGUGCCAGCAGCCGCGGUAAAACGUAGGUCACAAGCGUUGUCCGGAAUUACUGGGUGUAAAGGGAGCGCAGGCGGGAAGACAAGUUGGAAGUGAAAUCUAUGGGCUCAACCCAUAAACUGCUUUCAAAACUGUUUUUCUUGAGUAGUGCAGAGGUAGGCGGAAUUCCCGGUGUAGCGGUGGAAUGCGUAGAUAUCGGGAGGAACACCAGUGGCGAAGGCGGCCUACUGGGCACCAACUGACGCUGAGGCUCGAAAGUGUGGGUAGCAAACAGGAUUAGAUACCCUGGUAGUCCACACCGUAAACGAUGAUUACUAGGUGUUGGAGGAUUGACCCCUUCAGUGCCGCAGUUAACACAAUAAGUAAUCCACCUGGGGAGUACGACCGCAAGGUUGCAACUCAAAUGAAUUGACGGCGCGCCGCGCAC